AGUGAACGCUGGCGGCGUGCCUAAUACAUGCAAGUCGAACGAAGUUGCGGACGGGUGAGUAACGCGUAGGUAACUGCCUCAUAGCGGGGGAUAACUCUUGGCAAAGCUAGAUAAUACCGCAUACUGUGCGAUGGACCUGCGUUGUAUUAAGUAGUUGGUGAGGUAAAGGCCCACCAAGGCGACCAUACAUAGCCGACCUGAGCGGGUGAGCGGCCACAAGGGGACUGGGAAACGGCCCAGACUCCUACGGGAGGCAGCAGUAGGGAAUCUUCGGCAAUGGGAGGAAGUCUGACCGAGCAACGCCGGGGGAGUGAAGAAGGGUUGCGGAGCGUAAAGCUCUGUUGUUAGAGAAGCGGUAACUAACCAGAAAGCAACGGCUAACUACGUGCCAGCAGCCGCGGUAAUAC
rnacentral:rRNA from 1 species